rnacentral:rRNA from 1 species
GACAGAGGUGCCAAGCGUUAGGCGGAAUCACUGGGCUUAAAGCGUGUGUAGGCGGACUUGUAAGUACCUUGUGAAAUCCCACGGCUCAACCGUGGAACUGCUUGGUAUACUGCUUGUCUUGAGCCACUUAGGGGCUACCGGAACAAAUGGUGGAGCGGUGAAAUGCGUAGAUAUACGGAGGAACACCAGCGGCGAAGGCGGGUAGCUGGGCCAACACUGACGCUGAUGCGCGAAAGCUAGGGUAGCAAACGGG